CCUACGGGAGGCAGCAGUGGGGAAUCUUGGGCAAUGGGCGCAAGCCUGACCCAGCAACGCCGCGUGAAGGAAGAAGGCUUUCGGGUUGUAAACCUCUUUUCUCAGGGACGAAGCAAGUGACGGUACCUGAGGAAUAAGCCACGCCUAACUUCGGGCCAGCAGCCGCGGUAAUACGUAGGCGGCAAGCGUUAUCCGGGUUUACUGGGUGUAAAGGGCGUGUAGGCGGGAAAGCAAGUCAGAUGUGAAAACCAUGGGCUCAACCUGUGGCCUGCAUUUGAAACUGUUUGUCUUGAGUGCUGGAGAGGCAGACGGAAUUCCUAGUGUAGCGGUGAAAUGCGUAGAUAUUAGGAGGAACACCAGUGGCGAAGGCGGUCUGCUGGACAGCAACUGACGCUGAGGCGCGAAAGCGUGGGGAGCAAACAGGAUUAGAUACCCGGGUAGUC
rnacentral:rRNA from 1 species